rnacentral:lncRNA from 1 species
UUAAGAGUCAUGUUUUUCUCCAAAGUGAUGAUGUCAUAUCUUAGAAGACGUCAUUACGUAAAUUGUCUAUUUUUGUCCUGGUAAGUUCUUGUAAUGUUCUCCUUUUUUAAAACUUGUGUUCUUCUAAUGUUCCUUGGGUGCUUAUAUAUAUCUUCAUAAUUCUUUUUAAAGUUUCUUCUCCUGGCUACCGAAAACAUGAAUUAAACAACUAUAAUUAUUAUUUUACUUUCAUGAAUAAACAUGAGUCCCGAUUCAUUUGUUGAUAAUAAUAAAAGAUGGUGGUCUAUCACUGUCAAGAAUUUUCCGAGCUUUGGGUAUAUCUUUAUCUUUAUGUAUUCUUGUGGCACUCAUUUACGUUAGGAACAAUCCUAUUUAAUAAGUGAGAAAUCUAUUAGUUAUUUAUUGCAAAUAACAUAAGAUGGUGUAACGUUACUGGACUUGCCAUUGAAAUUUUGCACCAUUGUUGAGGUCACAAUAAGGAUAGAUUGGUUGCCGAUACAUCGUCUUAAAAAAACUUCUCUGUAACGUAACUCUGAUUUAUCACCAGCCCUGUAGAGUUUAAGUCAAAAAAGUCAAUGCUAACCUCAAUGGUGGAAGUGUUCUUUCUUGUAAUUCUGAUUCGACAUGCUUCAUUUGGGUGAGUAAUCUGAUGAUAGCUAUAAAAUUUGGAGGUCAAUUACUUUUAAGUUUGAAAGAUCAAGUUCAUUCUUAUUCGAACUAUAAAGUAUAGACAUACCUCGGCGUUGUUUAUCUUUCACAACCCGUUCUUGUAAUGUUUCCUUUCUAGCAAACAUGAAGUAGUAAUCUGGAAAUCAUUCCAACGAUCCUUUUGGUUCCUUUGCCUUUGUAUUGCACAAAAAAAAUAGUUUCAAUGCUCAAUUUGUGAUAGUUUGUGGAUUCCACAACCUUAAAAUUACUAAAUUCAUCAAAAGAUUUCUCAUUUGUUUUUGUCAAGAAGUGUAUCAAAUUCCUCCAAAUAGUAGCAUGAUUUUUUCUUUUAGAAUAUUGAUAGUAGCAUGAAUUGUUUGGCCUGUCAAAACAAUCAAAAUAUGCUUAGCAGUAGUUGUUUAAAAUGAUAGAACAAUUUGCAUUUAAAUAUUUGAUGAAUAAACCUUUUCGUCCAUGCACAUCAGUGUUAGGAUUGAUAUUCUCACUACUUUCACUUCAUUGUUCCAGUUUGGUCCUGUGUUAUUAAGGCGAUAAGAUUCUAGCAUGCAAUUGUGUUUUGGCUGCAGAUGGGAUUAGAAAUUGUUAGUCAAUUGAUAAUGUACCUAUGAAGAUUUCUUCAUGAAUAAGUGAAUUCAGUUAAUAAUAUUACGUACCAUGGUGAUUCAAGUCUCAUCGGUCAGUCGUUGGGUUUGCGCGCCAAGUCGUGGUUUUGGCUGAUUUUGAUAUUUUCUCGGCGUCAGAAAUCAGCAGCCUUCUGGUUAACAGACUUUCGGUUCCUGAAUCUGAAU